rnacentral:tRNA from 1 species
GAAAUGUAAACAAAAUAAGGAAUCUGCUAACUUUUUAUAUUAGCGGUUAAACUCCGUUAACAUUUCU